GGGGUUAGCGCGCGGGUUAGCGCGCGACCAGAUAUAGAGGCUGUAGUCCUCAAAGCGGCCGUCCCGGGUUCGACUCCCGGACCCGGCA